AGAGUUUGAUCCUGGCUCAGAUUGAACGCUAGCGGCAUGCUUAACACAUGCAAGUCGAACGGUAACAGGCUUUAUAAGGCUUCGGCUGAGUAAAGUGCUGACGAGUGGCGGACGGGUGAGUAAUGCGUAGGAAUCUUCCUUAUAGUGGGGGACAACCUGGGGAAACCCAGGCUAAUACCGCAUAACCUCUAUUAUUAUAG
rnacentral:rRNA from 1 species